rnacentral:lncRNA from 1 species
GAAGCUUGGUGGUUCAGAAAGAAGAACAAAUACGGGAAAGAGAUGAAGGGGCCAAACCUCUGUAUCCCCUGAAAUCCUAGUCUGCCCGCAAGGGUAUGACAGGAUUCUAUUUUUUCUGAGCCAAUCUUCAACUUCCUUGAAAAAGAAUUAAGAAAGUCCACUUCCCUUGCUGCAACUUCACCUUGCUUUAAGAAAUUCUGUAUAAGAAAGCCCCAAAAU